ACAUCAUGAUUUCACUUACGUGUAUGAAAAAAUAAUGAUGGGACAAUUUCUCUUAAUAAGUGCAUAUUUUUUAUCUUAUGUAAAUAUUUUGAUACAAAAUUACUAUUUUGCUCUUCUUAUGUAAAUAUUGUAUAUCAAAAGUAAAGGCAAAAUAAAAAUAAAUAAAUAAAUAAAAAAAGGAAAGAUGAUUCAAAAGAUACAAAAUAAUUAUUUUGCCCUCCUCGUACCAACAUUUUAUAUCACAAAAGUAAGGGCAAAAUUGAAAAAAAAAAGUGAUAAAAAUUUGACAAAAAGGAUUCUCUUGAUAGCAUAGAUAGAUUCUAACAACUUUUCUUUACUGGCAGUGAACCAGUAAAAAGAAAACUUGAGAAAGGUGAAGUGAAUAAAACCCUCCAAGCUCCUGACAGAUUGAAAACGAUUUUGGAUCUUAGAAAACAAUUACAGGACCAAUUUUGGCACGCCAUGCUUUGGAGAAGGCAUUGAGUUAUCGCCCGUUAUCACCUGAUGCUACAACUGAAAACCCACUCCCUAAGUCUACCACGGGCCUCAUUAAGGAAAUUGCAGUGUUAGAGGAACAAGUUGUGCAUUUGGAGCUCCAUCUUCUUUCUUUGUAUCGAAAAACGUUUGAUCAACAAAUAUCAUCUGAAUCGAGUGUGGCUGGACGACCCAAUUCAUCUCCAUUGAUCACAAUUAAAAGGGUUUCCGCAGAAGUUUCUGGACGAGACGUUGUUGAGAAUUAAUGUCAGCCCAAAACCAUAAGUAAUCCACAACCCAA